rnacentral:misc_RNA from 1 species
GAUGAAGAACGUAGCGAAAUGCGAUACGUAAUGUGAAUUGCAGAAUUCAGUGAAUCAUCCAAUCUUUGAACGCACAUUGCGCCCGCCAGCACUCUGGCGGGCAUGCCUGUUCGAGCGUCAUUUCAACCAUCAAGCCCCAGGCUUGCGUUGGAGCCCUGCGGCUGCCGCAGCCUCCUAAAAGCAGUGGCGGGCUCGCUAUCACACCGAGUGCAGUAGAUUACUCUUCGCUCAGGGCGUGCAGCGGGUUCCGGCCGUGAAACCCCCUACUUUUAAAGGUUGACCUCGGAUCAGGUAGGAAUACCCGCUGAACUUAAGCAUAUCAAUAAGCGGAGGA